GCCCGUCGCUCCUACCGAUUGGAUGACUCGGUGAAAUCACCGGAUGCUUACGAGCAGAAAGUGAUUAAAUCACGUUAUCUAGAGGAAGGAGAAGUCGUAACAAGGUAACGGUAAGUGAACCUGCCGUUGGAUCAGUUCUAGUUUUAAUAACUAACACCAACUUCUUUUAUUAAACAAAAACCAUACAAAAUAAAACUACUUCAUCAAAACCAGUCUCUAGCAAUGGAUGUCUUGGCUCCUCACACGAUGAAGAACGUGGCAUAAUGU
rnacentral:rRNA from 1 species